GCCCUGUGAUUAAAAUAAUAAAAUAGGGCGCAUCAGUGCUCAAUGGGUUAGAGAUGAACAGACGGUCAAGUCUGUUAUGCACAUAUGUACCUUCUGAUGUAAACAAUUGGUAACAUCAAGGUGUUAUACAUAGGGUUAUACAUGGUGGUCAACAUUACAUGUAUCAACACUAAUGACUUCGGGAGCAAGCAAAUGAGGCUAAA